rnacentral:tRNA from 1 species
GGAGAGAUGCCGGAGCGGUUGAACGGGGCGGUCUCGAAAACCGUUAUAGAUCUCGUAUCUAUCGUGGGUUCGAAUCCCACUCUCUCCG